rnacentral:sRNA from 1 species
AGCCUAAACCGGUAGCAAUACUGGCAUGGUGAAGAAAUCGCAGUGAACAAUAAAAAACCUGUUAUCAGGGGCGUUCACUGCGUUAUGGAGGGAAACCUCCAUAGGAGCUUCGGCUCU